AGACCCGAAACCCGGUGAUCUAGCCAUGGGCAGGUUGAAGGUUGGGUAACACUAACUGGAGGACCGAACCGACUAAUGUUGAAAAAUUAGCGGAUGACCUGUGGCUGGGGGUGAAAGGCCAAUCAAACCGGGAGAUAGCUGGUUCUCCCCGAAAGCUAUUUAGGUAGCGCCUCGUGAAUUCAUCUCCGGGGGUAGAGCACUGUUUCGGCUAGGGGGCCAUCCCGGCUUACCAACCCGAUGCAAACUGCGAAUACCGGAGAAUGUUAUCACGGGAGACACACGGCGGGUGCUAACGUCCGUCGUGAAGAGGGAAACAACCCAGACCGCCAGCUAAGGUCCCAAAGUCAUGGUUAAGUGGGAAACGAUGUGGGAAGGCCCAGACAGCCAGGAUGUUGGCUUAGAAGCAGCCAUCAUUUAAAGAAAGCGUAAUAGCUCACUGGUCGAGUCGGCCUGCGCGGAAGAUGUAACGGGGCUAAACCAUGCACCGAAGCUGCGGCAGCGAACGUAUCACUUAAAGCGAUUCAGCGGGUUACGAUUGACGGAGCGAAGCGACGUCAAAGCGUAUACAAAGUCGAGUCGGUUUAAGGAUACGUUCGUUGGGUAGGGGAGCGUUCUGUAAGCCUGUGAAGGUGGCCUGUGAGGGUUGCUGGAGGUAUCAGAAGUGCGAAUGCUGACAUAAGUAACGAUAAAGCGGGUGAAAAGCCCGCUCGCCGGAAGACCAAGGGUUCCUGUCCAACGUUAAUCGGGGCAGGGUGAGUCGACCCCUAAGGCGAGGCCGAAAGGCGUAGUCGAUGGGAAACGGGUUAAUAUUCCCGUACUUGGUGUUACUGCGAAGGGGGGACGGAGAAGGCUAUGUUGGCCGGGCGACGGUUGUCCCGGUUUAAGCGUGUAGGUGUGUGUUCCAGGUAAAUCCGGUUCACUUUAACACUGAGGCGUGACGACGAGGCACUACGGUGCUGAAGCAACAAAUGCCCUGCUUCCAGGAAAAGCCUCUAAGCAUCAGGUAACAUCAAAUCGUACCCCAAACCGACACAGGUGGUCAGGUAGAGAAUACCAAGGCGCUUGAGAGAACUCGGGUGAAGGAACUAGGCAAAAUGGUGCCGUAACUUCGGGAGAAGGCACGCUGACACGUAGGUGAAGUGAUUUACUCACGGAGCUGAAGUCAGUCGAAGAUACCAGCUGGCUGCAACUGUUUAUUAAAAACACAGCACUGUGCAAACACGAAAGUGGACGUAUACGGUGUGACGCCUGCCCGGUGCCGGAAGGUUAAUUGAUGGGGUCAGCGCAAGCGAAGCUCCUGAUCGAAGCCCCGGUAAACGGCGGCCGUAACUAUAACGGUCCUAAGGUAGCGAAAUUCCUUGUCGGGUAAGUUCCGACCUGCACGAAUGGCGUAAUGAUGGCCAGGCUGUCUCCACCCGAGACUCAGUGAAAUUGAACUCGCUGUGAAGAUGCAGUGUACCCGCGGCAAGACGGAAAGACCCCGUGAACCUUUACUAUAGCUUGACACUGAACAUUGAGCCUUGAUGUGUAGGAUAGGUGGGAGGCUUUGAAGUGUGGACGCCAGUCUGCAUGGAGCCGACCUUGAAAUACCACCCUUUAAUGUUUGAUGUUCUAACGUGGACCCGUUACCCGGGUUGCGGACAGUGUCUGGUGGGUAGUUUGACUGGGGCGGUCUCCUCCUAAAGAGUAACGGAGGAGCACGAAGGUUGGCUAAUCCUGGUCGGACAUCAGGAGGUUAGUGCAAUGGCAUAAGCCAGCUUGACUGCGAGCGUGACGGCGCGAGCAGGUGCGAAAGCAGGUCAUAGUGAUCCGGUGGUUCUGAAUGGAAGGGCCAUCGCUCAACGGAUAAAAGGUACUCCGGGGAUAACAGGCUGAUACCGCCCAAGAGUUCAUAUCGACGGCGGUGUUUGGCACCUCGAUGUCGGCUCAUCACAUCCUGGGGCUGAAGUAGGUCCCAAGGGUAUGGCUGUUCGCCAUUUAAAGUGGUACGCGAGCUGGGUUUAGAACGUCGUGAGACAGUUCGGUCCCUAUCUGCCGUGGGCGCUGGAGAACUGAGGGGGGCUGCUCCUAGUACGAGAGGACCGGAGUGGACGCAUCACUGGUGUUCGGGUUGUCAUGCCAAUGGCACUGCCCGGUAGCUAAAUGCGGAAGAGAUAAGUGCUGAAAGCAUCUAAGCACGAAACUUGCCCCGA
rnacentral:rRNA from 1 species